CUACGGGCCGCAGCAGUGAGGAAUUUUGCGCAAUGGGGGAAACCCUGACGCAGCAACGCCGCGUGAGUGAUGAAGGCCUUCGGGUCGUAAAGCUCUGUCAAGUGGGAAGAAACCGUCCCGCGUUAAUACCGCGGGGCUCUGACGGUACCACUGAAGGAAGCACCGGCUAACUCCGUGCCAGCAGCCGCGGUAAUACGGAGGGUGCAAGCGUUAUUCGGAAUUAUUGGGCGUAAAGGGCGCGUAGGCGGCUCGGAAAGUUAGAUGUGAAAGCCCGGGGCUUAACUCCGGAAGUGCAUUUGAAACUGCCGAGCUUGAGUAUGGGAGAGGGAAGUGGAAUUCCUGGUGUAGCGGUGAAAUGCGUAGAUAUCAGGAGGAACACCGGUGGCGAAGGCGACUUCCUGGACCAAUACUGACGCUGAGGCGCGAAGGCGUGGGGAGCAAACAGGAUUAGAUACCCCCGUAGUC
rnacentral:rRNA from 1 species